CAACGUGGGUAACCUGCCCAAGAGAUCGGGAUAACACCCGGAAACAGAUGCUAAUACCGGAUAACAACAGAUGAUGUCUAUCAACUGUUUAAAAGAUGGUUCUGCUAUCACUCUUGGAUGGACCUGCGGUGCAUUAGCUAGUUGGUAGGGUAACGGCCUACCAAGGCGAUGAUGCAUAGCCGAGUUGAGAGACUGAUCGGCCACAUUGGGACUGAGACACGGCCCAAACUCCUACGGGAGGCAGCAGGG
rnacentral:rRNA from 1 species